rnacentral:rRNA from 1 species
UUUUCGUGAGAGGGGGGCCUGCGGAGGGAUCAUUACCGAGUUUACAACUCCCAAACCCAAUGUGAACGUUACCAAACUGUUGCCUCGGCGGGAUCUCUGCCCCGGGUGCGUCGCAGCCCCGGACCAAGGCGCCCGCCGGAGGACCAACCAAAACUCUUUUUGUAUACCCCCUCGCGGGUUUUUUAUAAUCUGAGCCUUCUCGGCGCCUCUCGUAGGCGUUUCGAAAAUGAAUCAAAACUUUCAACAACGGAUCUCUUGGUUCUGGCAUCGAUGAAGAACGCAGCGAAAUGCGAUAAGUAAUGUGAAUUGCAGAAUUCAGUGAAUCAUCGAAUCUUUGAACGCACAUUGCGCCCGCCAGUAUUCUGGCGGGCAUGCCUGUCCGAGCGUCAUUUCAACCCUCGAACCCCUCCGGGGGGUCGGCGUUGGGGAUCGGCCCUCCCUUAGCGGGUGGCCGUCUCCGAAAUACAGUGGCGGUCUCGCCGCAGCCUCUCCUGCGCAGUAGUUUGCACACUCGCAUCGGGAGCGCGGCGCGUCCACAGCCGUUAAACACCCAACUUCUGAAAUGUGACCUCGGAUCAUGCUAGUAUGACCAGCU